UACGUAGGGUGCAAGCGUUGUCCGGAAUUAUUGGGCGUAAAGAGCUUGUAGGCGGUUUGUCGCGUCUGCUGUGAAAUUUCGGGGCUCAACCCCGAACUUGCAGUGGGUACGGGCAGACUAGAGUGUGGUAGGGGAGACUGGAAUUCCUGGUGUAGCGGUGAAAUGCGCAGAUAUCAGGAGGAACACCAAUGGCGAAAGCAGCUCUCUGGGACGGUACUGACGCUGAGACGCGAAAGCGUGGGGAGCGAACAGG
rnacentral:rRNA from 1 species